rnacentral:rRNA from 1 species
GUGGGGAAUAUUGGACAAUGGGCGCAAGCCUGAUCCAGCCAUGCCGCGUGAGUGAUGAAGGCCUUAGGGUUGUAAAGCUCUUUCAGUGGGGACGAUAAUGACGGUACCCACAGAAGAAGCCCCGACUAACUUCGUGCCAGCAGCCGCGGUAAUACGAAGGGGGCUAGCGUUGUUCGGAUUUACUGGGCGUAAAGCGCACGUAGGCGGAUCGUUAAGUCGGGGGUGAAAUCCUGGAGCUCAACUCCAGAACUGCCUUCGAUACUGGCGAUCUUGAGUCCGGAAGAGGUGAGUGGAACUCCUAGUGUAGAGGUGGAAUUCGUAGAUAUUAGGAAGAACACCAGUGGCGAAGGCGGCUCACUGGUCCGGUACUGACGCUGAGGUGCGAAAGCGUGGGGAGCAAACAGGAUUAGAAACCCCGGUAGUCC